rnacentral:rRNA from 1 species
UACGGAGGAUCCAAGCGUUAUCCGGAUUUAUUGGGUUUAAAGGGUGCGCAGGCGGGAGAUUAAGUCGGCGGUGAAAUUUUGCAGCUCAACUGUAAAAGUGCCUUCGAUACUGGUUUCCUUGAGUGUGGAUGAAGUAGGCGGAAUUUGUGGUGUAGCGGUGAAAUGCUUAGAUAUCACGAGGAACUCCGAUUGCGCAGGCAGCUUACUAAACCAUAACUGACGCUCAGGCACGAAGGCGUGGGGAUCAAACAGGAUUAGAUACCCUGGUA